rnacentral:misc_RNA from 1 species
GAAAUGCGAUAAGUAAUGUGAAUUGCAGAAUUCAGUGAAUCAUCGAAUCUUUGAACGCACAUUGCGCCCGCCAGUAUUCUGGCGGGCAUGCCUGUUCGAGCGUCAUUUCAACCAUCAAGCCCCCGGGCUUGUGUUGGGGACCUGCGGCUGCCGCAGGCCCUGAAAACCAGUGGCGGGCUCGCUGUCACACCGGGCGUAGUAGAUUUUUCGUCUCGCCCAGGGCGUGCUGCGGGUUCCGGCCGUUAAAAAGCCUCUCUUUUAACCCAAGGUUGACCUCGGAUCAGGUAGGAAGACCCGCUGAACUUAAGC